GUGAUCGAAAGAUGAAAAGCACUUUGGAAAGAGAGUCAAGCAGUUCGUGAAAUUGUUGAAAGGGAAGSGCUUGCAACUAGACCUGUCCGUAGGUGAUCMGCCGCWGUUUUCAGUGGUGCACUCGCUCUGCGAUCAGGCCAGCAUCGGUUCGGGCGGUCSSAUAAAGGCCUUGGGAAUGUAGCUUCCUUCGGGGAGUSUUAUAGCCCUMGGUGCAAUGCGGCCASCCGGGRCCGAGGACCGCGCUUCGGCUAGGAUGCUGGCGUAAUGGUUGUAAGCGACCCCUCUUGAAACACGGACCAMGGAGUSUAACAUCUAUGCGAGWGUUUGGGUGUUAAACCCMYGCGCGGAAWGAAAGUGAACGGAGGUGAGAACCCUUAAGGGCGCAUCAUCGACCGAUCCAGAUGUCUUCGGAUGGAUUUGAGUAWGAGCAUAGCUGUUGGGACCCGAAAGAUGGUGAACUAUGCCUSAAUAGGGUGAAGCCAGAGGAAACUCUGGUGGAGGCUCGCAGCGGUUCUGACGUGCAAAUCGAUCGU
rnacentral:rRNA from 1 species